UACAGAGGGUGCAAGCGUUGUUCGGAAUUAUUGGGCGUAAAGCGCGUGUAGGCGGCAUGGCAAGUCGGGUGUGAAAGCCCUCAGCUUAACUGAGGAAGUGCGCCCGAAACUGCCGUGCUUGAGUGCCGGAGAGGGUGGCGGAAUUCCCCAAGUAGAGGUGAAAUUCGUUAGAUAUGGGGGAGGAACACCGGUGGCGAAGGCGGC
rnacentral:rRNA from 1 species